GGGGACUGUAACACAUCCUUUUGGGGGGACACAAUACAACCAAUAACAGUCUGUGCUCUGCCUUCCCCAAAUUCACGUCUUUCACAUGAGGAACAUAGACUCACUCAGUCCCAACAUCCCCAAAGUCUUAACUAUUCCAGCAACAACUCCAAGUCCAAAAUCACAUCUAAAUAACAUCAAUUCACAGUCCCAACUCUCAUGAUAUAAAUCAUUUAAAUCAGUUGUGGAUGAAAUUUGUGAUAUGAUCCACCCUGGAGCAAAAUUGCUCUCCAUCUGUGAACUUUGGAAGCAGAUAAGUUAUCUGCUUCCAAAAUACAAUGGUAGGACCAAAGUAGGAUAGACAUUCUCAUUCCAGAAGGGAGAAAAGAGUCACAGGUCCCAAACAAGUCUGGAAUCAAGCAGGGGAUGGCAGCUGUACCCUCUCGGCCCACUGGGGUGGCAGCCCCAAACCUCUCAGUCCAAGGAGGCGCUGUUGGAUAGGGCUCUGCAUCUGUGGCUCUUUCUUCAGGGAAGAAAAAUGGAACUAAAAAGGGAAAACAAUAGCAACAAAGAUCAAAAUAAAUAACAAGGAAGCGGAGAGAAGAAAGAACAUGGUGAAGAGAGUGAAACGCAUUGUCAUUUGGGGUGAAUUGCAGAAAGAAAUAAAUUAUUGUUCUUAUAUAUAA
rnacentral:lncRNA from 1 species